CGUAGGUGGCGAGCGUUGUCCGGAAUUACUGGGUGUAAAGGGCGUGUAGGCGGGAAUGCAAGUCAGAUGUGAAAUGCCGAGGCUUAGCCUCGGAGCUGCAUCUGAAACUGUGUUUCUUGAGUGUCGGAGAGGAAAGUGGAAUUCCCAGUGUAGCGGUGAAAUGCGUAGAUAUUGGGAGGAACACCAGUGGCGAAGGCGACUUUCUGGACGAUAACUGACGCUGAGGCGCGAAAGCGUGGGGAGCAAACAGGAUUAGAUACCCUGGUAGUCCACGCCGUAAACGAUGGAUACUAGGUGUAGGAGGUAUCGACCCCUUCUGUGCCGCAGUUAACACAAUAAGUAUCCCACCUGGGGAGUACGGCCGCAAGGUUG
rnacentral:rRNA from 1 species